GAUGAACGCUGGCGGCGUGCUUAACACAUGCAAGUCGAACGAUAAAGCCCAGCUUGCUGGGUGGAUUAGUGGCGAACGGGUGAGUAACACGUGAGUAACCUGCCCUUGACUCUGGGGUAAGACUUGAAAACUGGGGCUAAUACUGGAUAUGACUUCUCAUCGCAUGGUGGGGGGUGGGAAGAUUUAUUGGUCUUGGAUGGACUCGCGGCUUAUCAGCUUGUUGGUGGGGUGAUGGCUCACCAAGGCGACGACGGGUAGCCGGCCUGAGAGGGUGACCGGCCACACUGGGACUGAGACACGGCCCAGACUCCUACGGGAGGCAGCAGUGGGGAAUAUUGCACAAUGGGCGCAAGCCUGAUGCAGCGACGCCGCGUGAGGGAUGACGGCCUUCGGGUUGUAAACCUCUUUCAGCAGGGAAGAAGCGAGAGUGACGGUACCUGCAGAAGAAGCGCCGGCUAACUACGUG
rnacentral:rRNA from 1 species